UCACUGCAGUCCCCAAGACCUUGUCUAAAUAAAUAAAUAAAUAAAUAAAUAAAGUCAGCAAAUUGAAGGGAUUAAACAGUGGUGGUUGCCUGCGGUCCAGGCUGGUGAGGCGGCAGAGGGCGAUUCCGGCUCAGGCGAAAGUGUGGGGGGUGGGAAAGGCCUGCAUCUUGAUGGCGGUUGUUAAACCCCGUCUGUCCAUGUGGUCAGGUGGCACCAGCCUGUACACACAAAUCACAGAAACAGUUCCUGCUCCUCAUGCUUUACUGGAGUUCUGUGAAAUGGUAACUACAGAAAGAAGCUGAGUGGUGGAUACAAGGGGCCUCUUAGAACUGCUUUCCUGUGUCUCUCUGAUAGUUUUCAAAUAAAGAGCUAAAUUACAGCCUAAGAAGAAACAAGGAAAAUAGAGGGGUUAGCCUGGCCAGUGGAAGGGUAUGGGUCAGAGGAGUCCGUUCCAGAAGAGGAGGCUAGGGCUGGAGAGAGAGCAGCCAUUAAGGCCUAGGGUAACCACCAAAAGGAAGAGUUUGGUUCCCGGGAGAGGAGGCUAGUGAAAGGGAGCCCUGUGUUCAAGGCGUUGGUUAGCUGUAUUCAGUGCAGAGAUGGUUUUUUUUUGGGGGGGGCAGAUAAACUGAGGAGGCAAACAGGGAAUUUCAUUUUCUUCCUCUCCUCACCCUCCUCCUCCUCCUUGCCCACCUCCCCUUCUUCCUUUUUUUUUUUUUUUAGAUAAGAUCUCACUAUGUAGCCCUUGCUGACCCGGAACAUACUGGGAUCUGUCCCCCCCCCCAAGUGCUGAGAUUAAAGGAGUUUCUGACAGCUAGCCUCAAGACCAGAGCAAUGAGCUCACCUCUGGCCUCUCUUAGCAAGACACGGAAGGUGCCCCUAGAGUCGGAGCCUGUGAAUCCUGGCCUUGCAUGGGGCCUGGAAACUUCCCUUGGUGGCAUUCCAAGA